rnacentral:lncRNA from 1 species
GACAACAUACAAUAUCAGUUUUUCAGUCAUUCAACCCAUAAUUAAUAAAAACGUAGUACAUGCACACAAAUCUGUAAAAUGAACACAUCAAACCUCACUUUGCAUUUAAAGCUGUAAACAGGCCAAAUAACAGUACAUCAUCAAUCACACUAGACUCAGACUCCAUUAGCAACCUUAAGCAAUUUCACACAUGCGUUAAUUCAAGAAAUACCGUUUUAUCAUUUUGAACUUUAAUACCGUGAUAGGAAAUAGGGUGAGGGGUCCUUACUUGUUUUCGAGAUCCGAAUACGAUUCACAGUGCGCCUGCAGGCCGUCCCUAAUUUUCCCUGAAUUUUUUCCGGGGAACUGAAACACACUAACAGUACC